UACGGGGGGGGGCAAGCGUUGUUCGGAAUUACUGGGCGUAAAGGGCUCGUAGGCGGCCAACUAAGUCCGACGUGAAAUCCCCAGGCUUAACCUGGGAACUGCGUCGGAUACUGGAUGGCUUGAAUCCGGGAGAGGGAUGCGGAAUUCCAGGUGUAGCGGUGAAAUGCGUAGAGAUGUGGAGGAACACCGAUGGCGAAGGCAGCCCCCUGGGUUAACACUGACGCUCAGGCACGAAAGCGUGGGGAGCAAACAGG
rnacentral:rRNA from 1 species